GUUUUCGUGGCCUAGUGGUUAGGGCGUCUGUCUUACAAUAUGAGAAUUAGAAGAAAUUCUGGUUCCUGUUGAUCACAGAAGAUCCCCGGUUCGACCCCGGGCGGAAACA